rnacentral:rRNA from 2 species
CCAUGCCGCGUGAGUGAUGAAGGCCUUAGGGUCGUAAAGCUUCGCCUGUGAAGAUAAUGACGGUAGCAGGUAAAGAAACCCCGGCUAACUCCGUGCCAGCAGCCGCGGUAAUACGGAGGGGGUUAGCGUUGUUCGGAAUUACUGGGCGUAAAGCGCACGUAGGCGGAUCGGAAAGUUGGGGGUGAAAUCCCGGGGCUCAACCCCGGAACUGCCUCCAAAACUAUCGGUCUAGAGUUCGAGAGAGGUGAGUGGAAUUCCGAGUGUAGAGGUGAAAUUCGUAGAUAUUCGGAGGAACACCAGUGGCGAAGGCGGCUCACUGGCUCGAUACUGACGCUGAGGUGCGAAAGUGUGGGGAGCAAACAGGAUUGUACCCUGGUAGUCCACACCGUAAACGAUGCCUCUCGUAGCAGCUAUCGACACACCUAACGGAUUAAGCAUCCGCCUGG